rnacentral:rRNA from 1 species
AGAGUUUGAUCAUGGCUCAGAUUGAACGCUGGCGGCAGGCUUAACACAUGCAAGUCGAGCGGGGGAAGGUAGCUUGCUACUGGACCUAGCGGCGGGCGGGGGAGUAAUGCUUAGGAAUCUGCCUAUUAGUGGGGGACAACAUCUCGAAAGGGAUGCUAAUACCGCAUACGUCCUACGGGAGAAAGCAGGGGAUCUUCGGACCUUGCGCUAAUAGAUGAGCCUAAGUCGGAUUAGCUAGUUGGUGGGGUAAAGGCCUACCAAGGCGACGAUCUGUAGCGGGUCUGAGAGGAUGAUCCGCCACACUGGGACUGAGACACGGCCCAGACUCCUACGGGAGGCAGCAGUGGGGAAUAUUGGACAAUGGGGGGAACCCUGAUCCAGCCAUGCCGCGUGUGUGAAGAAGGCCUUAUGGUUGUAAAGCACUUUAAGCGAGGAGGAGGCUACUUUAGUUAAUACCUAGAGAUAGUGGACGUUACUCGCAGAAUAAGCACCGGCUAACUCUGUGCCAGCAGCCGCGGUAAUACAGAGGGUGCGAGCGUUAAUCGGAUUUACUGGGCGUAAAGCGUGCGUAGGCGGCUUAUUAAGUCGGAUGUGAAAUCCCCGAGCUUAACUUGGGAAUUGCAUUCGAUACUGGUGAGCUAGAGUAUGGGAGAGGAUGGUAGAAUUCCAGGUGUAGCGGUGAAAUGCGUAGAGAUCUGGAGGAAUACCGAUGGCGAAGGCAGCCAUCUGGCCUAAUACUGACGCUGAGGUACGAAAGCAUGGGGAGCAAACAGGAUUAGAUACCCUGGUAGUCCAUGCCGUAAACGAUGUCUACUAGCCGUUGGGGCCUUUGAGGCUUUAGUGGCGCAGCUAACGCGAUAAGUAGACCGCCUGGGGAGUACGGUCGCAAGACUAAAACUCAAAUGAAUUGACGGGGGCCCGCACAAGCGGUGGAGCAUGUGGUUUAAUUCGAUGCAACGCGAAGAACCUUACCUGGCCUUGACAUACUAGAAACUUUCCAGAGAUGGAUUGGUGCCUUCGGGAAUCUAGAUACAGGUGCUGCAUGGCUGUCGUCAGCUCGUGUCGUGAGAUGUUGGGUUAAGUCCCGCAACGAGCGCAACCCUUUUCCUUACUUGCCAGCAUUUCGGAUGGGAACUUUAAGGAUACUGCCAGUGACAAACU